rnacentral:rRNA from 1 species
UACGUAGGGGGCAAGCGUUGUCCGGAUUUAUUGGGCGUAAAGAGCGUGUAGGCGGCCUGAAAGGUCAGCUGUGAAAACUCGAGGCUUAACCUCGAGACGUCGGUUGAAACCAUCUGGCUAGAGUCCGGAAGAGGAGUGUGGAAUUCCCGGUGUAGCGGUGAAAUGCGUAGAGAUCGGCAGGAACACCCAGGGGGAAACCAGUCGACGUGGGCAUCGUACUGACGCUGAGGUGCGAGAGCGUGGGGAGCGAACCGG